GAGUUUGAUCGUGGCUCAGAUUGAACGCUGGCGGCAUGCCUUACACAUGCAAGUCGAACGGCAGCAUGAUCUAGCUUGCUAGAUUGAUGGCGAGUGGGCGAACGGGUGAGUAAUACAUCGGAACGUGCCCUGUAGUGGGGGAUAACUAGUCGAAAGAUUAGCUAAUACCGCAUACGACCUGAGGGUGAAAGUGGGGGACCGCAAGGCCUCAUGCUAUAGGAGCGGCCGAUGUCUGAUUAGCUAGUUGGUGGGGUAAAGGCCCGACCAAGGCGACGAUCAGUAGCUGGUCUGAGAGGACGAGUCAGCCACACUGGGACUGAGACACGGCCCAGACUCCUACGGGAGGCAGCAGUGGGGAAUUUUGGACAAUGGGCGAAAGCCUGAUCCAGCAAUGCCGCGUGUGUGAGAAGGCCUCGGUGU
rnacentral:rRNA from 1 species